rnacentral:rRNA from 1 species
UGUGGCCUACGGGACGCAGCAGUAGGGAAUCUUCCACAAUGGGCGAAAGCCUGAUGGAGCAACGCCGCGUGGGUGAAGAAGGUCUUCGGAUCGUAAAACCCUGUUGUUAGAGAAGAAAGUGCGUGAGAGUAACCGUUCACGUUUCGACGGUAUCUAACCAGAAAGCCACGGCUAACUACGUGCCAGAAGCCGCGGUAAUACGUAGGUGGCAAGCGUUAUCCGGAUUUAUUGGGCGUAAAGGGAACGCAGGCGGGAUUUUAAGUCUGAUGGGAAAGCCUUC